UGAAACUUCCAAAGUACAGCUUUUAGUUACUAAACCAAAAAAAAAAGCUUCAGCUACUUUUAUUUUCUUGUGAAGUUAAUUUUUCUUUUGAAAAAGCAAAACCAAGCUAACUUGGAAUUAACCAGCCUUAUCCUAACCAAGGCCUUCUAGAUGCUGGACACAGGUGUCUUCCCCAGUGUCACCAUUAGUCAUCUUGAGGCCCUUUUACCUCAUCAGUCCAGAAGCCCUGGGCCACUGGGUCCCACUGGGUAGCUGUAAAGGUGGCUUGGAGCACAGGAGGCAGAGCUGAGUCAGCAGUGGGCAGCCAGUCCACGUGCUGCAGAAACAUUCCCCAGGCUUUGUCAUGGCCAACUGUGCAGACUCCAGAAUCAAGACGCUCAGAAGUUAAAACAAGCUCACAGCAAGGUUUGUAUAAGGUCCUGGAGGAGCCCAGUAGGUAGGUUGAAGCUAUGGGGCCAGCUGGUCAAUGCUAUGAGCUCUGCUUUUCUGCUAGAAACCAGGUAGCAUCUCACUCUUAGCACCUCUCCUUCCUUGUCUGUCUAUACUCCCACCACCCACCCCAAGCCACCACCAUGAUUCAUUCAUAUACCCUGUCCUAAAACAUUGCACUGAAAAAAGCAGGGAAUCACUGGCUGCUGACAUAGUACUCAGAAAAUGGCAUGAGGUACAGAGUAAACAAUAAAACAAAAGCCCACUAGUCCCUACUGUGCUAGGACCUACUACCUGGGGAUGUUGGGAGGCAGAAUCUAUAGGUCAGAGGGCUCUAUGAUCCAAAUGUCCCAGGCAUAUUUCAUGAUGGUCUGGUCACUGGAGAACUUGCGUGAGCAGACAGUGUUCCUGAUUACUUUCUUGGUCCACUCCUUGGGGUUCUGCAGAGAGAAGGAGAUGCUAAGUAAUCUCAAGUACAAGACAGACCAAGCUUCCAGAGCUUUAUGAUGUUCCCAAAUGAGCUCUUACCUCUCACUCUGGGUGGCCUGAUGGAAGAAGAGAAUAUGACAAUCAUAGUUCACUAAAGAGGGGCUCCAAGUACCAGAAAAGCUACCAAAUGACUAGAUAGAGUCUGAGAAGGUCCUGGCCUUCAAAAUGUUCCAUGUUCCACUAGGGCACAGCCCACACACACAAAAAGAAAUACCACCAGAUGAGUAUUUGCCACAGGCAGGUCCAAUUCCCAGGGGAAAUGGCUGGGUGGUUUCCUUCCUAGGGGCCUCAGAGUCUGACAGUUGCCCCCAAACUUCAGCCACACCUGGAGAGACCUCCCUGAAGGGGCCACUUUCCUUGAGGUUCAGUUUAAGGUAAGCAAGAGUUCCUCCCAAAGGCCAACCUGUUCUGAUACAGAAGGGGACAUCAGAGCUGUCAAGUGCAGGCAAUGACAGCAGCUUCCUAAGACUAGGAGGCUGAGACUGGCACCAAAUCAGAUGUACAAGUCCCUGAAGCCUCAUCCAAGAACCUUUUAAAACAGUUUGGGAAAAAACCAUCUGAACCAAAAUUCUGCACAGUCAUACCACCAUCUCUAGUUUCUCCUCCACAGCCAUCCUCUAGGGGGUGCACAGGUGGGACACUUAGGAAAAGAAGCAAAGCAGGCACCUAGGGACAUCCUCUUUCACCUUCCCCAACUCAGGACUUGGGUCUUUCCAUGAUAUCCCCUGUGAAUUCCCUAUGGGCCACAUCAAAGCAGGGGCACCAGUCCCAUGGGUCAGGCACAUGCUCCACACAGAAACCUGGGACACAGGCUCUCUCCAUAGCCUUCACCAUCAAGUGGGGAGCUGGCAUCCUGCCUUAGAAAUUCUGCUCCACACAGCUGCAAGUCCCCUUAAUCUACUGAUUUUGAAGCUUUUACCUUUCCAAGGUGUUCACCUUAGACAUGCUUUCUGUGUGCACAUUGCUCCCAGGCCUGUCUCUCCACUUAGGCUGAGCUUUGCACCCAUGCCUCCCUGACAAUACCCACAUGGAAUGAUCAGACUAGGGAACAGCCUAUCUCUGUCCCCUUUGUAAGGGAAAUUUGUGCCAGGUAGACAGCAGCUUGACCCCAGGAAUCAAAAGGCACCAGUGUGGUAGAUGAGAGCAGACAGAUGGCCAAGACAGCUCCUGAAUGGAAGAUGGUAAAGAAACACCACGCUGUGUCUGGGUAGCUCACCUGAUUAGAGCAUCGUCCCAAUAUACCAAGGCUGCAGGGUCACUUCUGGGUCAGAACACAUACAAGGAGCAAUCAAUAAAUGCACAAAUAAGUGGAGUAACAAAUCUAUUUAUCUCUCUCUACAUCCCCUCUCUAGAAAAAAAUAGAUGGAUAAACAAAAGAAGCACCAGGUGCAGGGGAGCCUGAACCCAGAAUGCUGCUCAGCUUCCUGAGCCCCUGGUCACCCUGCUAUGGGCUACAAACUGAACUGUGACCUCCCAGGAGUGGCACAAGACAGCAGGAUGCAGAUGAACCCCAAUGCUUCCCAAACAGGACUGCCCCUACCAACUCCGGGGUCGGAGAACCCUACCUGGUACAGCUAGUCCACCUGGCCUGGCAAGCCACAUACGCUUCAUAAUCCACAAACACCUUGAACCUGAAAGAGGAGACAGCAUCAGUAAACCAGCCACCAGGCCAUGGCUGUGUCCUCAUGCUCUGUAGCCCUCCUGACCAUGGUGGCUGCUCUGUGUGAAAUGCUAAUGCCCUGGGAAUAUUAUUCUUAAAAAAACCUCAUUUUAAUCCAAUGAUCCUUUAAAGAAAUUACUGUUUAUAAUGCACCCUCCCAGUGCAUGUAGGUUAGAACUGCACACGUGAAAGGUCUCUUCCUUUCACCUCCCAGGGAAAAGGGCACAGGGUGGCAGGCAACAGGCUCUCUGUAGCCAUCUGUUCUCAGGUCCAGCUGGGCCAAGGACUGGUGAUACAUGCAGGAUUUAUGAAUAUAGAAAUCAUUCCACUUAUAAUUGAGUCAGAAGCGCAUUUCAUAAAACUGAUGAAAUUCUUUCUUUGAUCAGACCUUGGCCAGGGCCUAGUUCCCGGUCCCAGUACCUGUGUGGUUAUUAUGAUCUGGUCUGGUUGAAGCCAGCUGACAGCAUUCAUCAAAAAGAAACAAACAAAACCAACCCAAAAGCAACUAAAAGUGGAAUAGGAGUCAAUUCUCAGCAUUCACCAGACCGCAUUUACCAGUUGGUUGGAGCAAGUACUAUCAUAUGGCAAAUGGCACUGCCAAUCUGUUCCAGCUUAGUAAGUCUGUAAUCAAAGGUUGCCAUUCAGCUGAAUGACACCCAGCCCUUGCCAUUCCUGAGCUUGUGCAGAUCCUGGUGGAUGUGGAUAAAGUGGACUGGGAAAAGGCUUGGCAAAUCACAAAGAAAACCUGUGUAAACCUGUACACCAACUACAUCGUGCUGCCCAAGGCUUUGGAGUGCUGGCCUGUGUCCAUGUUUGAGAAACUGCUGCCACGGCACCUGGAGAUCAUCUAUGCCAUCAACCAGAGGCACCUGGAUGCAGGCAUUGGCUGUGCUGGGGUUGGGGUUGGGUUGGUGGGCUGCACCCAUGCCAAGGGGCCCUUCUUUUUUCUCCACAUUACUUCUUGAAUCAAAUAGCCUCUGUCCAGCAGAGGACUUUGAGGUGUGAGGGCUGUUACUUUGCAGAGCUGUUGGCUAAUCCCCUACCUAGACCUCUGGUGUAUAUGUGGGAGUUAUGGAUUUGGGUCCUUUUAAGAUGUUCCUGUUCCCUUGUUGGUUUUUGAUUUAAGUGUCUGUUCUUGGAAUGUCAAAGACUUUAUCCUGAGAUGACUUAGCAGCAAUUCAGUGAUUUGGAAACAAACCCCCAGUUGUCAUUGUUACCUGCAGAAAAGUGGUAUAAGAACAGGGGGUCUUGAAAUUUAGGUAUGAUUAUAGUUCAUUUUUUAACCUUUUGGUAAAAAGGCAGCUAUUCCAGCUGUCAAAAUGUGAUUAAAACCUACUUAGGCCGACAGGGACAGCAUUCCCAUCUUUUCCUUGUAAGUCACAUGGCAUGGCCCUAGCACUGAUGGUUCUCUAGUCUGAUGCUGACACAGCAGCUCUGCUGAGCCCUCAGGCUGGACCUAGCUCAUCCCUGGACUCAGGCAGCAUGGGAGGAGGGGCUCUCAGAGGUGCAUCCAGGGUAUUUAAGUGCAAGUCUGGGGUGUAGCAGCCCCAAGGUUUUCUUGAAGGAGACCAGACUUGCCGCAGGGAGUCCUUAACCCACUGUGGGACUUUUGGCACUUCUGCUCAUGGUUCUUUGUCAAGGCAACAGCAAGUGUCUGCCCUGUUCCCCAGGGAUGUGGACUACCUGCAGAGGAUGCCUCUGAUUGAGGAAGGGGACUACAAGCAGAUUAAUAUAGCCCAACAUGUGCGUGAUUGGAUCCCAUGCUAUCAAUGGCGUAGCUAGAAUCCACUCAAAGACCAUAAAACAGUCAGUGUGAGUGAUCCAGUGUUUGCCCUGAGCUAGGGCAUAACUCCUUUCUGACCCCACACCUGUCUCUAGGAACUGUCAGUUACCCAUAUGUAUAGUGGCUGAGGCAUAUGGCCCAUGCUCCACACCAUUAUUGUGCUGCCCUUGUGGGCAUUGGCUGACCUACUCAAAGCACCCUGGCCAAUAGGUGAUGUUGAGGAGGCAAACCUUCUCAUCACCAGUGGCUCCUUUUUUUGUGCAUUGUGGAUAUGUCCAGGCAAGGGCUCUGCUCCUAUAGCCAUCUGUUGCUGGCUGAAUACCAUGAGGGCCCCACCUGGCAAUGAGUGGCCUGGCUUAAAUAGGGUGGAGGUUAGGGUAUGAUGGGCAGGGGCUGAUCACUGUGAGGGUGGAGGAAUUCUUUGGUCAGAUCUUGUGCUUCCUGUCCCAUCUUGGUGGGAUGUGAUCUUAGAGUUUCUUCCACUCUCACACUUCUGAGAGUGCUAGGUGGGCCUAAACCAGGUCUGUCCAUGUGGAGACUUCUGUGUCCCUGGUGCCUGCCCAGAGGCUUUUAAGCCCCACAGUUGGUGGGGGGCAGGGUGAGGGGUGGUCCAUAUUGUACAGAUACAGAAACUGAGCCCCAAUUUCUCCACUAUGGUUUUUACUUUAGAAACUGGCCAGGUCCCGCUACCUGUGAAGUUAUAGCUAGCCUGUAUUAUCAACUGUGGGGUACACUGAAAAGUAUGUACUGCAUGUCUGCUGUUCUCCAAGUAUGCAGUUCCUCUUCAAGUGUGCAGUAAUGCUGGCUGCUCUACAUUCUUUAGAAAACAAAACAGGAAAAACUGACUUUCAGAACCUUCCAGGGGAUUUCCUUAUAAGGUCCUCAUGUUUUUCUUGCUCACCUUGUUAAGAACACAGCAUUUGUCACCAUUUCCUGUUUUCUUUGGUUUUAGCUUUAAGGAUUUUUACAAUCUGGAGCCAGAAAAGUUCCAGAAUAAGACAAAUGGCAUCAUGUCUGGACGGUGGUUGCUCCUGAGUAACCUGGGGCUGGAUGAAUGGAGAAAAUUGGGGAGGGUUUUCUGACCAACCUGAGCCAAUUGAAGAAGCUGCUGCCCUUGGUUAAUGAUGAGUCUGUCAUCAGGGACAUGGCCAAGGUCAAGCAGGAAAAUAAGUUGAAGUUCUCUGCCUUGUUGGAGAAGGAGUACAAGGUGAGAAUCAACCCCUGCUCCAUGUCUGACAUGCAUAUGAAGGGGAUCCAUGAGUAUAAGCAGCAGCUGCUGAACUGCCUGCACAUCACCACCCUCUGCAACCAUGAAUAUAACCUCAUACUCCCGCUCACUAGCUCAUCCUAGGGCCUGGGCCUUUCAUGCAGGUAAGAAUUAAAUGAAGGACAACAACAACAAAGUUGGAGAACUUACAUUUCCUAUUCUCAAACCUUACUACAAAACUAUGGUCAUCAAUACUGUGUGGUAAUGGCACAAUAAUGGACGCAUAGAGCAACAGAAUAGAAUACACGGCCCUUCACAUAGACCUUCACAUUUAUGGUCAACUGAUUUUCAACAAGGAUGCCCAGAUAAUUCAGUAGGAAAGAAUAGUCUCUUUAACAAAUAGUGCUGGAACAAUAGGAUAUUCACAUGCAAAACAAUGAGAUUGAACCCCUACCUCACACCAAAUACAAAAAUUAAUUCAAAAUGGAUUAAAUACCUAAAUAUAAAAGCCAAAAUUAAAAAUAACUUUUAGAAGGAAACAGAAGUAAAUCUUUACGACUUGGGCUGGACAAUGGUUUCUUUUGUUAUAACACCAAAAGCACAAGUAACAAAAAGUAGGAAAACAGUAAUUAACAAGCAAGGGGUACCACUUUUGAUAUCAUUAAGAAAUUAGACUUCCGGCAAAGAUGGAGGCAUGGGGAGACACACUUUGCCUCCUUGUACAACCAAAAUUAAGGACAACAAAAAUUUAGAAACAAAAAAACAACCGGAACUGACAGAAAAUUGAACUGUAUGGAAGUCCGACAACCAUUCAUCCAGACUGAUAAACCAUGCAAAAACUGGGAGCAAGACAGACCAUGCAACCCAGGGCCCCAGCAAUGGAAAAUAAAGCUAAAAAGCACUGAUUAAAAACACUUGUGGGGGUUUUCAAGAUGGCGGUGGACUAGGAUGGAGCAGAUACCAGUUCCUAGUACAAAAGAGACAAACCUAUCCGAUCGGAGGAGGUGAGGCCAGCAAGCCAGCAGUUGCCAAGCAUAUGUGAAAAUAAGAGACCAGAGACCUCAUCGGUCACGGAGGAACCAGACAGUAGGGAAACAGCAGCGGUACACUAGUCUCUGGGACGGAACAGGGAGAAACAGCUGGUGCAGGGUAGGGGAACCGGCGCCCAGUGGCGAGAGCCCAAUGGCUCAUGGGACAGCCUUCAGCGGCCCAGACGGCUUCCUCCCUAGGAUUUUUGGGCCGGGGCCUGCCAAGUGGCCCAACCAGAGGGGAGCAGAGGUGAUUUCAGUCUGUGCAUAGCUCGGAGGUUCAGCACCUGGUGGGAACUGUGUCUGGGAGAGUGCCUAAAGGCGCCUGGGACAGCGUUCAGCGCCCAGACGGCUCCCUCCCUGGGAUUUUUCUGCCGGGCAGGCCGAGUGGCCCAGGCAAAGAGGUGUGGAAGAAACUUCAGCCUGCGAGCAAGUUGGGGAACUAGUCGCUCCACACGCAGUGUGUCUGGGCAAGUGCCUGAGGGCGCCUAGGCCAACAUUCAGCGCCCAGAAAGCUCCCUCCCUAGGAUUUUUGGGCCCGGACCAGCCAAGAGACCCAACCAGAGGGGAGCAGAGGAGAUUUCAGCCUGCACACAGUUCUGGGUCCAGCGCCCGGCGUGGUGCUGCUACAUCCCUAGGUUUUUUUUUGCCAGAGGUUGGCCAGGGGACCCAGACAAACACAGGAGCAGAAGGGAUACACACCACGCAGCGUGCCAUGACAAGCACACAGAGUUUCUAGGUCGGCACCCAGUCCUCAGAUCGGCUCCCGGCUUCCAGUCUACCCCUCUCAGACUAUCUGGAAGCCCCCGGCACUGAGGGGUCCUGGGAAAAGAGCUGAGACCCUCAACCCCCUCCCUUUCUGGCCAAGCAAGGUGGGGGGCCAGGAGAGACUUGUUUGAUAGAGUUUACAGAGAGGGUGUGGAGGACAAAGGGCCCCAACCAAGGACUCUGUGGUUGCCAGCCCAGGAGAACUCAGAGGUGCAGCCUAAGGCUCUGAAUCCAGUAGACACGGCAGUCUGGUCUGCUUCACACCCAACUUGGCAGCAAACCCAGGAUUGGGCAGAGGGUCUGGGGCUUCCCAAAUGAACGGGGGCAGGCCUGUGCUCAAUCCCGAGGGAGCCAGGCAACUGGGCCUGUGCAGGUGCCUACAAGCACAACAGACCAGACUAUGGCAGUAACCCCUGGGAGGGGAGCGCUGCGAGAAAGUCCUAGUUCCCCAUUGUAGGGAGCUGGGGAGAGGUGCCAAGUGUCUGGAUCCUGAGAAGGGCUGGCUGAAAAAAUUACAACAAUCGACCCUCAGCCAACUGCAACCAGAAAAACCGGUUCGGCUAGUUUGAAGCCAACAAGUGACAUUUCCUUUUCUGAGGUUGUUUUUGAGAGAC